CCAAAGUCCGCCUCUCUGGCACAUUGACGAUUUUGAGCUGAAGGCGCUUGAGAAACAGCAGAGGCAGGAAGGGUCUUCUGAUCACCCCCUUCUACCUAAAAACAGGUCAUAGUCUUUCCCUUGAGAACCGUGCCUUCCGUGUACCAGGAAGAGAAGAACAUUCCGGAAACGAGGAAUCAAUGCUGCAAUGGGUCUCCCCACCGGCCCCGACCUCUAGGUGUAUGGGAGCAGGGCCCCAGGCAAACGGUGGAAAUCUAGGAAACGUUUGUUGAGGGAAUUAUUGGAGUAUUUCUUGAGCACACCUACUGCUGGUUCGUCUCGUGGUGACCGAUGUAAUAAGAGCCUGAGAUAUGCCACCCACUGCUGCGCCCGGGCCAGAAGGGGGCCGCCUGCAGCCCUCACAUUCCAGACAGAGCGCAGGUGUGCGGGCUUGACCUUGCAUCAGGACCUCCUGGAAACCGCUGGGGCCCACCACCGCCAGUCUCCGACUCAGGAGUUCUAGGGUGGGACCCGAUCAUUUGCAUUUCUAAUGUUUUCUGGGCCAUGCAGAUGCUGCCUGUGGGGAACGAGGCUGUGAGAACCACGGUUCUAGAGUUUAGGAAGACGGCCCAUUAGGGUCAAUGGUCUCCAUCCCAGCAGGAAAGAGGAAGGAGCUUUUUGGAGGCGCCGCCUGCAUUCCAGCUCUUUCCUGGGCUGAUGCUGCCCAUUGUCAUUCCGUCAGGGGAUCAGCAUUUUCCAUCGCCCACCCGGGGAGCCAGCCCUGCUGAGGACGGGAUCUCGGCCAGCCUCUUUUUCCCUCUUACUGUGGGUUCUCCAGAGUACCACUGCCUAGACGUACCAGCGGAUUCUCCUCGGCCUUGGUUACCACAUCUGUUAAAAGGGGAAUAAAUUGAUCUCCCAACAAGCUCGGGUUGAGGCAAGAACUAAGGGUGACUCUGGAGAAUUCAGCACAGGGCUGGGCACUGAAUACCCUGUCGCUGUCAGCCACGCUGCAGCUGUGCGUUUUCCCCUAGUCGAG
rnacentral:lncRNA from 1 species